rnacentral:lncRNA from 1 species
GUUCUUGUUCGCCUUGGCACCGCCGCUGCCGGACUUGACCGACUCAGCGUCGCUGUCCGUCAUCGUAGAUCGUAGAUCGUCGAGGCUCUGAUACCAAUUGUUGGCUUUUGAACGUGCGUAUGCAGCUGUACAGGCGUGCCUACGCGAUUCUUGCUUCGGCCGGCUACUUGACGGAACUUGCGUAACUAGCGACACGAAUAAAACUGAUCGAUUGAUUUGAUGGCUAAAGGCCCGUGUCGAGCCUUUGCUUUGUAUUGCUUUUCGUUUUUCUGGUGUUACAAUCAACACCCCUAGGGUGUCUUUUAUACACGUCCACAAGGGACUAUGGAAAUAGACUAGGACUAGGAAUCCUAAUACUACUAGGACUCGGUUUGGCUUUCUUUCCUAAUCCUACAUGAGCAACAUGAUUAACAUCUACAGCAUCCUGGAGCGGCCUGCUCCAGCUUCUGCUGCUGCUGCUGCAGUCCCCUAGACGAAGGAGAGCAAGACCAAGGUCUAAGGUGAUCAAUGAGCUACACUCUCUGUCCAUGGAAUGUAUAUCUUAUACGAUUUGUACAAUUAAGACAUUGCGUCGGUCAUGAAUGUGUUCUUGUUGAUUGAUUUGCUGUGAGAUUCUGAUUAUGUGGUAUACUAGCUUGUACCAAUAUAAUAGUGCCAUAUAUAAUAAAUGGUUUGAUUGUGCAUGUAUCAUUGGUCCGUUGUAGCCAGUCGGAGCAGAUGGUUUGUAUGGUUAUAUCCCUAGAAUCAUCGCUCGCUCCAGGACAUCCUUUAUUUUUGAAAAAUUCAAAAUUCAUUUUUUUGGUUUAAAAAAUGCACGUACAUAAGGAUGAAAUGUAUAUGUGUGCACAAAUUCAGGAUGAAAUACCUUAUUAUGCAAUCUGUGUAAAAAGAACAAAUUCAUGGACUUUCGGGAUGAAUAGUAUCAUGUGUUAAAAAGCCACAAUUUUUUCUUUUUUGCACAGACUUCGUUUCAACGUGUUUUGUAUGGUUGUAUCAUUUGUAUGGUUAAUUGUAUCCCUAGAAUCAGAUGGUUUGGCCCACAGCAAGUUGCUCCCAUUUUCGACUCACUAAUCAAUACAGUUGGAAUUCAAAAGCAGAGUCACUAUACGUUCUUCACAAAAAGCAGUAGAGUACAUACACGCUUGAGCUAACGCCUCUGCAUGCCAGCCACCGAUACACGUGGACUGUUUGAAGCUAAGGCACAUGAUGCAUGCGAAUGUCUUCAGGUUUGUGCGGCGCUCAGAGUAGGAAAUCUUGGCCACAGUCCAGGAGGCAGGAGGCUUUGCCCCGAAUAGUGAAAUUUCGACAAAGUUUACUAAAUUUCAUAGAUACUGAAAUAAUCACGUUUCGGUCAAAAUAUUUCAACAACUACGGUAGUGUAAACUAAUUAAAAAAUAUUUUUCAAAAUAUUCUCCAAAAAGUUCAAUGUCAAUUGAAUUCAACUGAAUAUUUCAUUCAUUUGGCCGAAAUGCAACCCGAAUCAUUAAAAUUCAUUGAAUUUUCAUGAUUUCGGUUGAUGCUGAAUUAUUUUUUAAAAGUUUAAAUUGAAAACCAUGCCUCGUAGUAACCUCUUCUGCCCAGAAGUCGUUGCCUGAUAGCUCCAGCUGAGGUCUCUUACAUGCCGAUGGAAUCAACUAACAAUUUGAAAUGCUGGAGAUUUUUAUAUAAUUCAAGACUCGGACACCUUUGUUAGCAGCCUCCCUCAAAACAUAAAGUAACAAUAUUUUUCUUUUUGAACUCUAAGUAACAAUUUCUUAAUUAACAGCCACGGAUCAGACCAUUGACGGUUGCUGGGUGCUAGCGAUUUGUUUUCUGUUUCAUUGUACGCCGUUGUCAAAGCGGUCUGGUAAUUCGUUGCCUGAUGGAGCUAAUUCUGGCAUGUUGCACACUUUCUACCCAGGCAGACAUCAUAAGAUUGCGUUGUUAGCAGUAGCAGUCCUAAUACGCAUCAUGACAUGAAACAAAUAACUUGUUUAAUUAGCAGCCACGAAUCAACCACUCACGAUGGAUGCCUGCGGGGCUAUUUUUUCUUUCUAUUUUCUAUUUUUUCUGGCUAUUUCCUGUUUUUUUAACAUAGUAAAGAUACAUACGCCAUCUCUAUGAAUGCACGCAUACAUAACCCUACGUCGAAUGGACGCUUGGAUACGUAUCGGAUAAGCAAUAUAGGGAUACGCCAAUUUUGUAAAAACUAGGAUAUGGGGAUACAUUUAUAUAUAUGUUAAUUAUUAAAAAUAUGAAAAAAGAUAAAGAGCUUCCAUGUCAAAGCAUGCCUCAAUAGGAUGAUCUUUUUUUUUCUUGCCCUUGGUUCACUUCUAUCAGUUGGAGUGGCACUUCCCUAGGUUUGCUACUCUCAAUGAGUGCAUCGGUUCUCCCUUGCAUAAGAAUAUCGAUAGUGAUCUUUUGGCAUGAACUCACCCCAAUGAUGGGAAUCUUCUAAAGUGUGACUCUGCUCUUGAGGGGAUUUCACGUUGAACGAGGGGUUUCAUGUAUCUAAUUUGUAUCACAGCAGUAUCCCAGGAGAAUCAAACAUUAUUUUCAUUUUUCAAAUCAAAAAAUCCUAAAAUACAUGUGAGAUGCGUAUCCGACUGGAUACGCGUGCUUUCUGAAGUAUCCGCGCAACGUAAGCACAACCUAUCUCUAUGAGCAUUUUCGAAAGAUAGAGUCAUCACAUCAUUUUGAGAUUGACGAAGUCAUCAUAGACACCUUCGUAGUCUAGGGGAACAUCUCUUCUUACUGAGUGCAGAUCACCGUAAGGCCUAAAAUAAUUCAAGUAAAAUGUGGGCAUGAACGUCAAGUCUGUUACUUGAAUUCUGGUGGGCGGGUAUAAAAGUACACACUAGACAAUGUUUAAAAAAAAUGCUAAUCAUACAUUUCGAAAAAUAUAGAUGUGGUAUUAAAAAUGUUGACCAUGUAUUUAUAAAAUGGUAAUCAACCAUUUGAAAAAUGUUGAACGUGUAUAGAAAAAUGUUGAUGAUGUAUUCGAAAAAUGUUAAUCUUAUAUUUGAAAAAUGUUAAUUAGCAUUCAAAAAACCUUAAACGUGUAUAGAAAUUAUGUUGACCAUGUAUUUAAAAAAAUGUUAAUCUUGUAUUGUUUGAAAAAUAAUCAGGCAUUUGAAAAAUGUUAAAUGUGUAUAAAAAAUGUUCACCAUGUAUUCAAAAAAUUCUAAUAUUAUAUUUGAAAAUGUUAAUCAAGCAUUUGAAAAAUGUAAAAUGUGUAUGAAAAAAUGUUUACCAUGUAUUCAAAAAAAUCAAUCUUGUAUUUAAAAAAUGUUGAUCAAGCAUUGUGAAAAUGUAAAAUGUGUAUAGAAAAAAUGUUGACCAUGUAUUCAGCAAAUUAUAUUUGAAAAUUGUUUAUCAAGCACUUGAGAAAUGUUAAAUGUACAUAGAAAAAAUAUUGACCAUGCAUUAAAAAAUUGAAGGUUUAAUUAUAUUAAUCAAGAAUUUGAAAAAAAUAGUUAAAUGUGUAAAGACAAAAUGCUGACAAGCUAUGAAACAAAUGUCAAUCUUGUAUUUAAAAAUUCUUAAACAUGGAUUAGAAAAAUGUACUAGUUAUACACCAAAGAUGUUAUUGUGUAUGGAAAAAGUAGACAUAAAAAAAUAUAAAUUUUCAAAAACUGUUAAAAAUGUAUUUAAAAAUAUUUGAAACAUGUAUAUAAUAAAUGUUUCUAAUGCAUACAAAAUAAAUGUUAUCUGCAAUGGAAAAUUGUUAACACGUGUUUAACAAACAGGAAAUCAAUGAAAAUUGACAUAAAAACAAAUAAACACAAUAAAAACAAAGAAACCAACACAUAAAAAAAGAAAAAUCUAAAUAAACCAACUAAAAAUAAUAUAAAUAGUGAAAACACAUAAAGAAAAAAUGACAUUCUCGCGCUGCCCUGCGGUAGGCAGGACAUAGGCGCGGUCGUUCGUCGUUGACAUUCGCCAUAUAUCUUUACCUAAUAUUAAUGGGAGAAUUGUUUCUUCUUUUUUUAGUCCAUCAACAAUUUUUCAUAUGUAUCAAUGAUUUUCGUCCCCGUUUUCCCUUUUAUUUUCCGUUGCAUCCAAAAGAAAAUUGGAAAACCGCAUGCAAAAAGAAGGUUCUAAGGGAAUCGAACCCUGCCCGCAGGGAACUAGCCCAUACGCAGCAAAAAGUUAGUCUGAUACAUGUUACCAGUAAUGAGAAAAAAUAAUGCAAUAGCUAAAUGAUGGUGAGCUAGAUCUGUCAGCCACAAACUUUGUGUUUGUGGAUGGAAUCCCCCAAGAAGAAUAAGAAUGGUAGUUCCCGCCCCUUCAACGGUACCAAAUAAAGGAUUUCUUGAAUCAGGUUUUUGGGCAAAAUGAUUCCACCGACCCGUCAAAAUGGGUCCCAACCCCUGGGGAUAGGGUAAUACAUCUAAAAAUUAUUCCAUCGAAUGUACCCCCUGGAUGCGGGAAUAGCAACAUGAACUAAAUGUCCUGUCCAAACCAAGGAACUUACCCAAAAAGUCCCGACAAAUGAUGAUUGAGAUGAGAUUCCGCAGUUGUUAACCACAACGCCUCAAAGGACACAUAGUGUUCCAUACAACUUGAACUACUGCCUAUAAAAAUUAAUAGACAACAUGAUUAUUAUAUGAACCAAAGGCGGUGACAUAUUAAAAAAUUCGAGUUUUUUCAAUCAUUUAUACGUAAAAUGUAAAAGCAAAUUCCAGUAGUGAACAAGUUUUGAAAUUUGAAAAAAAAUAUUAAAACGUGAAUUAAUUUUUUAAAAAAUGAUAAAAAGUUGAAAAACAUGAACAGUAUUUUUCAACAGCAUGCAAGCAUCAAAUAGGAUCCCGUCAAAUGGGUCUCUUCAUGUGUACCUCGGUAGCCUCCGAACAAAUCGUCAAAACUAUUAAAAAUAAUAACCGGCCCAUGGAACUCCGUUGCACAAAUUCAGGUUGCAUAUACGAUUUAAACAUUGCCAAUUCUCAUACUACUCGGAGAAAGGGUUAAGGUACGCGUCAUGUAGAGAUAUCGAUCUUCGAUCUGUGGCUUACUAAGUAUGUGUUUCCCUCGAGUCAUCUGGAUUUUCAAGGAGUCCAUCGGAGGGGUCGAUUUGUUACUAGUUGCGUACCUAUUUCUUAUUAGGCCUAAAGAAACAUAUGUCCUUUAUCAUACAACAGAGUCGACCACACAGUAAGGUAGGUUGUUGCUCGGAUGUUUGUGAUUCACUAUGAUUGUUAAUCAUUUUGUUGAUCCAAACUUUAGUGCGAUAAUAAUGGAAGAAACCAGCCCGAUUUUUUUAGAUAAUUUUCCUUAUUUUUAUUACCCGGAAAAUGUGGGCGAUGAUGCAAAUUUUUGGUCAUUCAGUUUGAUACUUAUGCCCUGCCUCAGUUAUCGGUCAAUUAUUAUUUGGAUCGUAUUGGGAUUUUUUAUUAUUAUUAGGUGCAUCUCGUAUGUUGUAAAUUGAUUCUAUUAGUUAAUACGCAAUAUGACGAUUGAGCAAUUGAUGAUUUUAUUAUAGUAUUAAUUAAUACACGAAUAGCACCUAUUGGGAUUUUAAUGUGAUUCUUUGAGAUACAGUAUUUUUUAUUCUAUCGCCCGGAAGUGCAUGUGUAUUGGCACGAAGGUAGCAUGAAGAGAUUGUGGCCUCGUGUUCCCUUUGAACUUGCAUUUGGGUAGGCUGCGUGUACACGUAGCACCAGGUCACGAGCAUGUGCCCGCGAGCAGAGUUGUGGAUGCGGUUGGAUCGGGAGGCAGAAGGAACCGUCCCUACCCACCCUGCCCUACCACGUACGUCGUGCGCUAUCAAACAGAUGCAGAUGCAGCUGCGCUGUACCGCGAGCGACAGCGGGGCCCCGUAGGUCAGUCGCGCACUCCUCGGUGUGAAACCUCGUGGCCUGACCGGCUGACCCCAGGUCAGCACCGCUCCCGUCGAUAUAUAUCCAGACGCAGAGGUAGCAGAUAGAUAGGGGUAGCACCUAGCAGAGCAGAGCAGAGCAGAGCAGCGCGAAGAAGGAAGGGAGGUGGAGAUGGCGCCGAUGAAGCUGUACGGGAUGAUGCUGUCGCCCAACGUGACCCGCGUGGCCACCGUGCUCAACGAGCUCGGCCUCGACUUCGAGUUCGUCAGCGUCGACCUCCGCACCGGCGCCCACAAGCAGCCCGACUUCCUCAAGCUCAACGUACGCCCCCCCUCCCUCCCCUGCUUCGUCCUAGUACUAGUUCGUCGUCAAGAUCCAGGGAAGGCGCUGAUUUUGUUUGCCUCGCUUCUCUGGUUGGUUCUGUGCAGCCUUUCGGCCAGAUCCCGGCGCUGCAGGACGGGGACGAAGUUGUCUUCGGUAACGACUCUCAUCCCAUCUCCUCUCAUUAUUCACCCAGAUCUGGUUUCGUAGAUGCGCACCAGUCUCACUAGGAUCUAGAUUUACUGACGCCGGGUCACCGGCCAGCACACGGCUCUCUGUAACUGUGUUAGUAUAUUGUUCUUCUCUUUUAUACUGUACUAAUUUUAUUUUAUCAUCCGCCGAUCUAUCCAAACUUAUGGUAGUAGAGCACACAUUUUCCUCCAAAAAGUUACUAGAAUAUACUUGUAAUUUAUCCGAGAUUUAAAAGAAGAUCGCGAGGAUUUGGUCCAUAACAAAUCAAGCAAGACUGCCAGUGAACAGAUCUGGAGUACUACGUAGCGACGAACUAGUCGAGCAGAGGUUGAGAUAAACCCCCGAAAUAAUGAAGGAAAGAAUUUUGGUUGCAGAGUCGCGCGCCAUCAACCGGUACAUCGCGACCAAGUACGGGGCGGCGGAGCUGCUGCCGACGCCGUCGGCCAAGCUGGAGGUGUGGCUGGAGGUGGAGUCGCACCACUUCUACCCGCCGGUGCGCGCCCUGGUGUACGAGCUGCUCAUCAAGCCCAUGCUGGGCGCCCCCACCGACGCCGCCGAGGUGAACAAGAACGCCGCCGACCUCGACAAGCUGCUCGACGUCUACGAGGCCCACCUCGCCGCCGGGAACAAGUACCUCGCCGGCGACGCCUUCACGCUCGCCGACGCCAACCACAUGUCCUACCUCUUCAUGCUCACCAAGAGCCCCAAGGCGGACCUGGUGGCCUCCCGCCCGCACGUCAAGGCCUGGUGGGACGAGAUCUCGGCCCGCCCCGCCUGGGCCAAGACCGUCGCCUCCAUCCCCCUCCCGCCCGGCGUCUGAGGUCGCCGAUGCCGGUUCUGCUUCCUUGUUUAGCUGCGGCGAGAAUGGAAUAAAAUUGUGAUGGAACAAACGACUUUUUAGAAAAUGAGCUUCGAAUUCUUGGUGUUUGCUGCUGUU